UACAUAGGCUCCAAGCGUUGUUCGGAAUUAUUGGGCGUAAAGAGCUCGUAGGCGGUUUGUCGCGUCUGCCGUGAAAGUCCGGGGCUCAACCCCGGAUCUGCGGUGGGUACGGGCAGACUUGAGUGCAGUAGGGGAGACUGGAAUUCCUGGUGUAGCGGGGAAAUGCGCAGAUAUCAGGAGGAACACCGAUGGCGAAGGCAGGUCUCUGGGCUGUAACUGACGCUGAGGAGCGAAAGCAUGGGGAGCGAACAGG
rnacentral:misc_RNA from 1 species